UUAGAAGAGAGAUAUCACUGGAGUAAACAAUGCAUGUUUGAUAGCAACACCAACUCAGAUGGUUAUUCCACAGAAUGUAGAACUGCCUCAGUAACACCUUUGUCAUCUUUGAAGCUGCUAGGAAAGGUCAGCAGAAAGUUCACCAGAAAGAUUCUGAAGAUAUAAACAAAAAACAUGGAACGGUGGAAACUUGAGGGUCAAGCAUUGGCAUGAGAGCCUUAGAAAGAGUAUAGAGUUGUCAGUCAAUUUCCAUUAUGCUGGAAACUAUAAUAAAUUGGGCAAAUGCAAUGCAAAGAAAACUGCUGACAGCAGACAUGUUCCUAAAAUGUAUGAAGAAUGAUGUAGUUGUUAAUUUAAUUAGUUGUUUAAAGCCAGACAAUUUCUUUCCAAAAAUUCUGGCUUGUCAAAAGUUAACGAUCAUAUUUCUUAAUCCAGCAAACUAAAUAUGACACUGAAUUACUUUAAAUAACACUGACACUUCCACAGGAAUGUUGAUAUGAAGCAUGGCAUUUAAUUUUUUAUGGAAAAUAUGAAUGCAUAGAAAGACAUGAAUGAUGCAUAAUAUGAAAAGCUGAUUCAAAAAUAAAAAUAUGACUGAUGAAACAAAAACUUUAGAGAAAUGUCA